rnacentral:lncRNA from 1 species
AGUCUCUCUCAUCAAUUUCACACAGUGAUUCCGUAAGAUGAACACAAUUAUUGACAUCUUAGCUGACAAAAAUUCAGAAGUUAUGUAUUUUUCCCCAGGCACCCCAGUUGAUAAAUAGCAGAAUUGGAAUUUAAACAGGCCUGGUGACCCAAAAACUUGACUCUAUAUCUUACCCUGGAGAAAUAUGCAAGUGAUAUCAAGCCUGAUAUUGAAACUUUAGUCCACUUCAUCAGACUUUGGAAAAAAAUGUGACACUCAACAUAGCAGAUGACCUUUCAUCUUAUUUCUCAUCUGCUGGUCCCAUCAACCCUAACUUUGUAUCUGCUAAAACCCAGGAUGUGAUAGGUUAUAUUGGGCAACAAUGACAACAAUUCAGUGGGCUAAAGAAAAAGUUUAAUUUCUGCUGAUAUUGCAUAUCCAACAAGGACUGGAAGAGGGAAUCUUCACUUUGGACCCUAAAAGGUCCAGCCUGAUUUUGAAAUUUGAAGACAAAUUGAUAGGUGGAAACACGAUUCAAGAGAAGGUGAACACACCAUUGUUACUACAGACAGAAGGUGGAUUGAGGGAAGAGUGGCUUAUUUAAUUGGUGAAUUUUAGAGAAGAAAUUGAGAAUGUCUGCUACUUUUCAUCCCUCCUGAAACUACUACUAUUUUUAGAGGUGCCUAACAUGUUGACCUGCUCUUUGGUAGGUGGUAAACUUGCCUUGCAAACUCUUCUGCAAGAAAGGCUUGGGAUCUUUCAGUUUAGUUUAUAACUGACUAGAUUUAUCAGUCCAGAUUGGCUAGGUUAUGCUGGGUAACAAACAACACCAACAUUCUAGUAGAUUUUAAAUAAAGGUUUAACUUCUGCUUCUGCUUAUACUGCUUGUCCAACAAGUGUGAGUAGAGACACAGCCUGAUGGAGACUUAAUCUUAACGUUCUCAACUAUGAUUACCAAAGCAGAAAAAUAAAACACAUUAAAUCACAUGCUGGCUUAUGAAAGCCUCCAUCUUUAAGUGACAUGUGCACUCUUGUUCAUAGUUUAUUGGCCAA